rnacentral:rRNA from 1 species
CUACGGGUUGCAGCAGUAGGGAAUCUUAGACAAUGGGGGAAACCCUGAUCUAGCCAUGCCGCGUGAGUGAUGAAGGCCUUAGGGUUAUAAAGCUCUUUCGCUGGGGAAGAUAAUGACGGUACCCAGUAAAGAAACCCCGGCUAACUCCGUGCCAACAGCCGCGGUAAUACGGAGGGGGUUAGCGUUGUUCGGAAUUACUGGGCGUACAGCGCGCGUAGGCGGGCUAUUAAGUCAGGGGUGAAAUCCAGGGGCUCAACCCCGGAACUGCCUUUGAUACUGGUAGUCUUGAGUUCGAGAGAGGUGAGUGGAAUUCCGAGUGUAGAGGUGAAAUUCGUAGAUAUUCGGAGGAACAUCAGUGGCGAAGGCGACUCACUGGCUCGAUACUGACGCUGAGGUGCGAAAGUGUGGGGAGCAAACAGGAUUAGAUACCCCAGUAGUC